rnacentral:rRNA from 1 species
AACGAACGCUGGCGGCAGGCCUAACACAUGCAAGUCGAGCGAGAAUCGUAGCAAUACGAGGACAGCGGCGAAAGGGAGAGGAACACGUGGAUACGUACCCUCGGGUUCAGGAUAGCCAUGGGAAACUAUGGGUAAUACUGAAUAACAUCUCCGGAUCAAAGGUGUGAUUCCGCCCGGGGAGCGGUCCGCGUCCUAUUAGCUUGUUGGUGAGGUAACGGCUCACCAAGGCAAAGAUGGGUAUGGGGUGUGAGAGCAUGCCCCCACUCACUGGGACUGUGACACUGCCCAGACACCUACGGGUGGCUGCAGUCGAGAAUCUUCGGCAAUGGGGGAAACCCUGACCGAGCGACGCCGCGUGCGGGAUGAAGGCCUUCGGGUUGUAAACCGCUGUCAGAGGGGAGGAAAUGCCGGUGGGUUCUCCCAUCGGUUUGACCUAGCCUCAGAGGAAGGACGGGCUAAGUUCGUGCCAGCCGCCGCGGUAA